rnacentral:rRNA from 1 species
GGUGAACGCUGGCGGCGUGCCUAAUACAUGCAAGUCGAGCGAACGGACGAGAAGCUUGCUUCUCUGAUGUUAGCGGCGGACGGGUGAGUAACACGUGGAUAACCUACCUAUAAGACUGGGAUAACUUCGGGAAACCGGAGCUAAUACCGGAUAAUAUUUUGAACCGCAUGGAUCAAAAGUGAAAGACGGUCUUGCUGGCACUUAUAGAUGGAUCCGCGCUGCAUUAGCUAGUUGGUAAGGUAACGGCUUACUAAGGCAACGAUGCGUAGCCGACCUGAGAGGGUGAUCGGCCACACUGGAACUGAGACACGGUCCAGACUCCUACGGGAGGCAGCAGUAGGGAAUCUUCCGCAAUGGGCGAAAGCCUGACGGAGCAACGCCGCGUGAGUGAUGAAGGUCUUCGGAUCGUAAAACUCUGUUAUUAGGGAAGAACAUAUGUGUAAGUAACUGUGCACAUCUUGACGGUACCUAAUCAGAAAGCCACGGCUAACUACGUG